GAGCUUGCUCUUAUGAAGUUAGCGGCGGACGGGUGAGUAACACGUGGGUAACCUACCCAUAAGACUGGGAUAACUCCGGGAAACCGGGGCUAAUACCGGAUAAUAUUUUGAACUGCAUAGUUCGAAAUUGAAAGGCGGCUUCGGCUGUCACUUAUGGAUGGACCCGCGUCGCAUUAGCUAGUUGGUGAGGUAACGGCUCACCAAGGCGACGAUGCGUAGCCGACCUGAGAGGGUGAUCGGCCACACUGGGACUGAGACACGGCCCAGACUCCUACGGGAGGCAGCAGUAGGGAAUCUUCCGCAAUGGACGAAAGUCUGGCGGAGCAACGCCGCGUGAGUGAUGAAGGCUUUCGGGUCGUAAAACUCUGUUGUUAGGGAAGAACAAGUGCUAGUUGAAUAAGCUGGCACCUUGACGGUACCUAACCAGAAAGCCACGGCUAACUACGUGCCAGCAUCCGCGGUAAUACGUAGGUGGCAAGCGUUAUCCGGAAUUAUUGGGCGUAAAGCGCGCGCAGGUGGUUUCUUAAGUCUGAUGUGAAAGCCCACGGCUCAACCGUGGAGGGUCAUUGGAAACUGGGAGACUUGAGUGCAGAAGAGGAAAGUGGAAUUCCAUGUGUAGCGGUGAAAUGCGCAGAGAUAUGGAGGAACACCAGUGGCGAAGGCGACUUUCUGGUCUGUAACUGACNCUGAGGCGCGAAAGCGUGGGGAGCAAACA
rnacentral:rRNA from 1 species